rnacentral:rRNA from 1 species
GGAGCAUGUGGUUUAAUUCGAUGCAACGCGAAGAACCUUACCUACUCUUGACAUCCACAGAACUUAGCAGAGAUGCUUCGGUGCCUUCGGGAACUGUGAGACAGGUGCUGCAUGGCUGUCGUCAGCUCGUGUUGUGAAAUGUUGGGUUAAGUCCCGCAACGAGCGCAACCCUUAUCCUUUGUUGCCAGCACGUAAUGGUGGGAACUCAAGGGAGACUGCCGGUGACAAACCGGAGGAAGGUGGGGAUGACGUCAAGUCAUCAUGGCCCUUACGAGUAGGGCUACACACGUGCUACAAUGGCAGAUACAAAGUGAAGCGAACUCGCGAGAGCAAGCGGACCACAUAAAGUCUGUCGUAGUCCGGAUUGGAGUCUGCAACUCGACUCCANGAAGUCGGAAUCGC